rnacentral:misc_RNA from 1 species
AAGUCUUGCAAAUGAACUUCACUGCCCUUAGUUGAAUCCAUUUAGAAGUUACAGGUGAUUGUAUGAAGCACAUGAAUUGCACUGCCAUCAUGGAAUCAACUAAAAAAGAAUUUCACCCUCUUCUCUCCCCUCUCUUUAUCUCUAUUUCCCCUUCUCCUUCUCCACUGUUUCUUCUCUUUUAACUCCUUUCUUUAUAAUUAAGCCACCAAAAUCUUGGGGCAAUAGUUGGCAUCAUAGCAGGAUGGAUCAAUAGGAAUUCUGUUUCUUGUUCUCCCUUUCUUCCUCAUUUGUAUCUCUCUUCUUUACAUUUCCUUUCUUCUUCUUUCUCUUCCUCUCUCUCCAUUUCUCAUUCUUUCUCUUCUCAAUUUUGUUCUUUCUUCUCUUACUUUCUAUUCUAUCAACAAUGGAAGGUGAAGCAAGAAUCAAGGCUCUUGAGGAUUGAUUCCAAGGUUUGG